CCAAUAGCGUAUAUUAAAGUUGUUGCAGUUAAAAAGCUCGUAGUUGAACCUCGGGGUCUACCCAUUGGUCAGGCUUAAUUGUCUGCACUGGUGAGAUGGAUCUCUACCUUCUGAGGAACUUUCAUGCCAUUUAUUUGGUGUGAUGGGAAAUCAGGACUGUUACUUUGAAAAAAUUAGAGUGUUUAAAGCAGACUAUCGUCUGAAUACAUUAGCAUGGAAUAAUGAAAUAGGACGGACUGAUUCUAUUUUGUUGGUUUCUAGGAUCACCGUAAUGAUUAAUAGGGAUAGUUGGGGACAUUAGUAUUCAAUUGUAAGAGGUGAAAUUAUUGGAUUUAUUGAAGACUAACUACUGCGAAAGCAUUUGCCAAGGAUGUUUUCAUUAAUAAAGAACGAAAGUUAGGGGAUCGAAGACGAUCAGAUACCGUCGUAGUCUUAACCAUAAACUAUGCCGACUAGGGAUCAGACGAUGUUAAUUUUUUAAUGACGCGUUUGGCACCUUACG
rnacentral:rRNA from 1 species